GAUGAACGCUAGCGGCAGGCCUAAUACAUGCAAGUCGAGGGGUAUCCCGCUUUCGGGCGGGAGAGACCGGCGCACGGGUGCGUAACGCGUAUGCAACCUACCCAUAUCUGGGGGAUAGCCCGGAGAAAUCCGGAUUAACACCGCAUAAAAUCACAGUACGGCAUCGUACAAUGAUCAAAUAUUGAUAGGAUAUGGAUGGGCAUGCGUGUCAUUAGCUGGUUGGCGGGGUAACGGCCCACCAAGGCGACGAUGACUAGGGGAUCUUGGAGGAUGGCCCCCCACACUGGUACUGAGACACGGAACAGACUCCUACGGGAGGCAGCAGUAAGGAAUAUUGGUCAAUGGGCGGAAGCCUGAACCAGCCAUGCCGCGUGCAGGAAGACGGCCCUCUGGGUUGUAAACUGCUUUUAUUCGGGAAUAAACCUGCAUACGUGUAUGCAGCUGAACGUACCGAAGGAAUAAGGAUCGGCUAACUCCGUGCCAGCCGCCGCAGUAA
rnacentral:rRNA from 1 species